CUGAACUGACACGGGGGCUGUGGCUUGAGCAAUAGGCGAAGGCCGUGGCUGAGAUGAGGGCGACCUCGACCGAUUGAACGUGAGUCCGGACAAUGCCGGCGCACGGACGUCUCUCUUCACCCGUG
rnacentral:ncRNA from 1 species